GCUUAACACAUGCAAGUCGAACGAGAAAGUCUUCUUCGGAAGGCGAGUAAAGUGGCGGACGGGUGAGUAACACGUAAGAACCUACCCUUCGGACUGGGAUAACAUCCUGAAAGGGAUGCUAAUACCGGAUAUUAUCUAUGGAUGAAAGAGGGCUUCGGCUUUCACCGAGGGAUGGGCUUGCGGCCCAUUAGCUUGUUGGUAAGGUAAUGGCUUACCAAGGCGACGAUGGGUAGCCGGCCUGAGAGGGUGUACGGCCACACUGGAACUGAGACACGGUCCAGACUCCUACGGGAGGCAGCAGUGGGGAAUAUUGGUCAAUGGGCGAAAGCCUGAACCAGCAAUGCCGUGUGGGCGAUGAAGCUUUUAGGAGUGUAAAGCCCUUUUCUAGGGGAAGAACCGCUUUGGGACGAAUAAUCCCAUAGCCUGACGGUACCUUAGGAAUAAGCCCCGGCUAACUCCGUGCCAGCAGCCGCGGUAAUACGGAGGGGGCGAGCGUUGUUCGGAAUCACUGGGCGUAAAGGGCGCGUAGGCGGCCUUGCAGGUCAGAUGUGAAAGCCCCGGGCUUAACCCGGGAAUUGCGUUUGAAACCUCAGGGCUUGAGGCCGGGAGAGGGAAGUGGAAUUCCUGGUGUAGCGGUGAAAUGCGUAGAUCUCAGGAGGAACACCGGUGGCGAAGGCGGCUUCCUGGACCGGUACUGACGCUGAGUCGCGAAAGCGUGGGGAGCGAACGGGAUUAGAUACCCCGGUAGUCCACGCUGUAAAACGUUGAGCACUAGAUGUAGCGGGGUAUCGACCCCUGCUGUGUCGCAGCUAACGCAUUAAGUGCUCCGCCUGGGGACUACGGUCGCAAGACUGAAACGUCAAGGAAUUGACGGGGGCCCGCACAAGCGGUGGAAGUAUGUGGUUUACUUCGAUGCACCGCCGAAGAACCUUACCAGGGCUUGACUUACUGGUGGUACUGAUCUGAAAGGUGAAGGACCUCUUCGGAGGAGCCAGUACAGGUGCUGCAUGGCUGUCGUCAGCUCGUGUCGUGAGAUG
rnacentral:rRNA from 1 species